rnacentral:rRNA from 1 species
UAGAGUUUGAUCAUGGCUCAGAUUGAACGCUGGCGGCAGGCCUAACACAUGCAAGUCGAGCGGUAGAGAGAAGCUUGCUUCUCUUGAGAGCGGCGGACGGGUGAGUAAUGCCUAGGAAUCUGCCUGGUAGUGGGGGAUAACGUUCGGAAACGGACGCUAAUACCGCAUACGUCCUACGGGAGAAAGCAGGGGACCUUCGGGCCUUGCGCUAUCAGAUGAGCCUAGGUCGGAUUAGCUAGUUGGUGGGGUAAUGGCUCACCAAGGCGACGAUCCGUAACUGGUCUGAGAGGAUGAUCAGUCACACUGGAACUGAGACACGGUCCAGACUCCUACGGGAGGCAGCAGUGGGGAAUAUUGGACAAUGGGCGAAAGCCUGAUCCAGCCAUGCCGCGUGUGUGAAGAAGGUCUUCGGAUUGUAAAGCACUUUAAGUUGGGAGGAAGGGCAGUUACCUAAUACGUGAUUGUUUUGACGUACCGACAG